rnacentral:tRNA from 1 species
GGAUGGGUUCCCGAGUGGCCAAAGGGGUCGGACUGUAAAUCCGCUGCAUUUUGCUUCGAAGGUUCGAAUCCUUCCCCAUCCA